AGUGCCAUCGCCAUGACUGAGGUGGGGGUUGGCAAGCUUCUGAUUAGGGAUCUGAGACCCGCAGUAUGGCAGUGACAAGAUCCAAGUCUUGGGACACCUAGCCAGGAGGGAAGAAUUUGAGGGAGAGGUGGAAAAUAUGCGAGGCUGAACUGACCUUCAAGGACAAGAAGGCUGUGUUCAGAUAGACAGAGUUUGUCUUCUGGGAGAGGAGUGGGCUUAUCCAGGAUGAUCCCAAAGGCAGAUUGAGGACCAGUGGGAGGACAUCCUGAGAAAGCAGAUCCAGCUUUAGGCAAGGAAGGACUUCGUAACAGGCAGAGAGCCCAUGUUGGAAACAAGCAGCUCUGCAAGGUGUGGGCCCACUGUCUGACUCCCUGCGGGGCUGCUGCCUUGGAAGAGCCUCCUGCUUAGAGAGGUUCUCCUGCCGCCAGCUGUCUCUCCUGAGUCCUGAGCACCACAUCUCUGGACCGUCUGGAGCCUCCCCUCCCUUGGCUUACUGCUCCCACCACCCUCUCUCUCCACCUUGCAAGAGACACUCUCCCUCAUCCUGGGUCAUCACCCUCUUUAGAGGCGCCGCCUGGCCACGAGGCAUCAGAUGGAGUGCAGCCGGGAGCAAGAUUCUCAUAGCAAUUACAAAGAUUCACAAGAAAAUGUGCCCUCCACUACACAGCUGUAAUUUACAUGCUUUCAAACUUGAUAUGGAAUGACUGUGGUUUCCCCUGAAAGAAGCAUCACUGAUCUCUGCACAGGAGAAACAAGGAUCUUGCUCUGUCACCUAGGCUGGAGUGCAAUGGCACACUCACGGCUCACUGCAGCGUCAAACUCCCAGGCUCAAGUGUUCCUCCUACCUCAGCCUCCUGAGUAGCUAGGACCACAGCACAGGCCCAGACACAAAGCAGAUGUGCAGUGGAGUGUGAAAGAGGCAGCCAACUCACUGGGGAGCUUCAGAGGGAGAUGGCCCAAAUUGCUGGGGCCUAAGAAUCUCCCGGAAUGAAGGAACAGUAGAAAGAACUGGAAGCCAAAUAUGGUGAUAGAGACUCUCAUCAAGGACACUGAGUAAACCAGAAACCUGCUUGGGCUCACGUUCCUUGUCUCUUCUUCUCAGAUCCAGGAAAGGAGCUGUCCAGGACAAUGAGGAUAGGCUGAGGAAAGACAGGCCACGGCCUUGCCUCUGUGCCAGCUCUCAUGGGCCAGGCAGAGUAUCCCAGGACAACUGCCUCCACAACCAGCUCCAUCCUUCAUCAGCAAUUCAGUACCUGAUUAACAAAUCUGUACCCCAGGAGGUUAUGCCAAGUCCAACUUCUUCCAGAGACCACAACAAUAAAUCCAAGCCACUGCUAAUGUCAUUUAUAAGCUGUGGGAUUAAAACAGAGAAGCAAUCAAUUAAUUAAAAUUAGCUCUUUAUUGAAACUAUAA
ensembl:lncRNA novel transcript